UACGGAGGGGGCUAGCGUUGUUCGGAAUUACUGGGCGUAAAGCGCGCGUAGGCGGCUUUGUAAGUUAGAGGUGAAAUCCUGGAGCUCAACUCCAGAACUGCCUUUGAUACUGAGGAUCUUGAGUUCGGGAGAGGUGAGUGGAACUGCGAGUGUAGAGGUGAAAUUCGUAGAUAUUCGCAAGAACACCAGUGGCGAAGGCGGCUCACUGGCCCGAUACUGACGCUGAGGCACGAAAGCGUGGGGAGCAAACAGG
rnacentral:rRNA from 1 species